AUGAGCCCAGCUGUGGCAGUGGGCAGCCCUGCCCCCCUUGGAGCACCUGCGUGUCCUGGGCUGGGCACUUGUCCUGCUGCUGCAUUCUGGGCUUCUAUCUCAGCCGGACCAUGGGCUGUGUGCCAGCCAGGACGUUCCCAGGGUGCCUCUCCCUGCGGGCCCCCGGCCCGGCGCCCCCGAGCCCGCUGCCACCUGCCGAGCUGCGCAGGAUCAUCACCCAGCUGGAAAGCCUGUUCCAGCCUAUCCUGGGCAAAUUGGACACGCGUUAUCUGUCUCCUC